GUGGCACGGCCGGUUGGCUACGUUCGGAAGGGAUAACCGCUGAAAGCAUCUAAGCGGGAAGCCUGCUCCAAGAUAAGCAUUCCGUGGAACCUUCGAGUUCCUGUAGUCCCCAUGCAGAACACGUGGUUGAUAGGCCGGACGUGGAAGCCCCGCGAGGGGUGGAGCCGACCGGUACUAACGGACGAAAGGCA
rnacentral:rRNA from 1 species